AAGGCUACCUAGGUGUCGAAUCCUUAGAAUCAUGCAAUGCUAAUGUGACAAUGAUAACGGUUAAAUAUCUAUUUCCCUCGAUUGACCCCCCGCUAGAGAUGUCCCAAACAAGAAAGCAAGACUAAAUGUGAAGUGCUAGAACGAACAGGCUCGAGCUAUCGAUACCAAAUCCUACGAAAAUAGAAUCCUAUUGACCUCAGAGACAGUUAUGUUAAGAGAAGAUCCCAAAAUCGCAAAGCAAACCCAACUUUGAUAAUUGAAAUCCUAGAAAACCUUAAUUACGAUGCAAUAAACGAGCCCGAGCUAUCGGUCACCCAAUCUACCCACCAAUAAUUUGCUAAUAACCUAGCUCACCCUAAUCGUCUUUCGAGUCACAAGAUGAGGAUGCAAUCUAGGGGGAAUUUCUUCGUGCCUAAACCGCUGAAUUUAUUGACUAAUAAAAUAACCAAAACAUACCAACAUGCAAUAUCAAGAUCAAUAUCAAAGAAAAGUUAUGUAAAUCACAUCAAAUAACCGAAAACAUGUCACAAACGCAUUACAAUCCUCUAGUUCAUCAAAACCCAGGUAGUUUAGAAGUUUAGCUACUCAUAAUCAAGAACCAAACAAAUUCAGUUGUGAAAAUCAAACAAAACAUGGUUUCGAUGCGAAAGAUUAGAAAAAUUAAAUAUAAUAUCAAACCCGUAAUGCUCCCAACUCAAACUGAAUAUUUCUUCUUUCUUGCUCCAAACGAAACAGCCCUUCUCUUUAUUUUUCUUAUCUUCGCACCCACUGUUGUUGUAUGCGACAACAAUAAUAAGAAUCCUCCUCAAAGUCCUUGCUGACGUCUUUUCU
rnacentral:lncRNA from 1 species